CUUUUUUUGGUCUAUGUUUUGUACAUGUGAACUCAAGGCUGUGCUUGAAGAUAAUAUUCCUUUGGAGGCCAUGUUCAUAGCCAGGGUUCCGCCAGUGCAUGGAUACCUCCGAAAUUCUAUACCAGAAGAAGACAGCUUGGUUGCAGAUGAAAAGUCCUCUUUUAGCUUUAUACAACAGGAUAUUGAUGAUGGCAGUAUACACUAUGGGCAAACAGCUCCUGACCAACAUCUGGACUGUUUUCUGCUGGAUGUGUCUAAUGGUUUCCAAGCUGUGAGUGGAGUGGAAACCUUGGUAGCUAUUGUCCCUAAGCGAAUUCCUCUCAAGGUACAGAAUUUUACAAUCCAAGAAGGCGGCUCUAGAGCACUUCUGGAAGACUACUUCAAAAUUCCAAGCAAAUAUUUUGUGGUACUUGACUGUGAAUUUGUUCUACUUGAACCACCAAAACAUGGUUAUGUUGAAAAUUCUCAUUUUCCAAGAGUAAAACUAAUGAAAUUUACCAGGAAAGAGGUAGAAAAUGAAUUGAUUUACUGUGUUCAUGAUGAUAGUGAGGAGCUUCUUGACAACUUCACCAUCUCUGCAAAUAGCUCAGAACUUGGAAAAGAGUUUACCCCAAACUACUUUUGUGCCUGUUGAAUCAGUAAAUGAUGAGGCUCCAGUAAUAAUAGCCAAUAAAGUCCACCAGGGCCUUGGGCAUGAACCCACAAGACUGGAGUGAAAAAUAAUUGUAACUAUUAUAAGAGUAAGUGUUCAAAAGUAAGUGUUAGCUCUUAUUAUGUGCCCCAUACUGGUUGAAGGGCUGAUGACCCUCUGAGAUAUGAGCUACCAUUUUCCUUAUUGGACAGAUGCGGGAACUUCAUGACAGGUGUAUGAUGCACUCAGGAUAGAAUGAUAGUAAGGGAACCUGCAUGGUUUGUUCAUGGUUCUUUCAUGGUCCUGAGCAGUGCCUGACACAUGGUAAACAGUCAGGAAACAUUUGUUGAGUGCAUGAGUGGAAAUGUAAACUGCUCAUUUCCCCAACACAAGCCCAUGCUUUCUACAUCAGGCUUUUGCCCUGACUCUUUCUUCCUUUAGUAUGACUGUGUUUCUGGGAGAAUCCUUGGUCCCUUACAUAAAUAAGCCCCCCGUGUGCUCAUUCAUCAGGGUGUCCAGACAUGAAAAUCUAAAUAUGUUCACCUUGAAAUCUGAUGGGGACAAAUCUUCCUACUUAUAUAUUUGACAACUGCAGCCUUAUUUAUAUCACUCAUGAAGGUAAAUAAUUAAUAAUAGAUUCCUUAGAAGUUCAGAGGAAUUUGGGUGGUUGGAGAAGAUGCAGAAG